UACGUAGGGUGCGAGCGUUAAUCGGAAUUACUGGGCGUAAAGCGUGCGCAGGCGGUUAUGCAAGACAGGUGUGAAAUCCCCGGGCUCAACCUGGGAACUGCACUUGUGACUGCAUGACUAGAGUGCGUCAGAGGGAGGUGGAAUUCCGCGUGUAGCAGUGAAAUGCGUAGAGAUGCGGAGGAACACCGAUGGCGAAGGCAGCCUCCUGGGAUGACACUGACGCUCAUGCACGAAAGCGUGGGGAGCAAACAGGAUUAGAUACCCUGGUAGUCCACGCCCUAAACGAUGUCAACUAGUUGUCGGGGA
rnacentral:rRNA from 1 species